rnacentral:rRNA from 1 species
GAUGAACGCUGGCGGCGUGCUUAACACAUGCAAGUCGAACGAUGAAGCCCAGCUUGCUGGGUGUAUUAGUGGCGAACGGGUGAGUAACACGUGAGUAACCUGCCCUUAACUCUGGGAUAAGCCUGGGAAACUGGGUCUAUUACCGGAUAGGAGCGUCCACCGCAUGGUGGGUGUUGGAAAGAUUUAUCGGUUUUGGAUGAACUCGCGGCCUAUCAGCUUGUUGGUGAGGUAAUGGCUCACCAAGGCGACGACGGGUAGCCGGCCUGAGGGGGUGACCGGCAACACUGGGACUGGGACACGGCCCAGACUCCUACGGGAGGCAGCGGUGGGGAAUAUUGCACAAUGGGCGCAAGCCUGAUGCAGCGACGCCGCGUGAGGGAUGACGGCCUUCGGGUUGUAAACCUCUUUCAGUAGGGAAGAAGCGAAAGUGACGGUACCUGCAGAAGAAGCACCGGCUAACUACGU